UGCAUCGGCCGGGAAUCGAACCCGGGCCGCCCGCGUGGCAGGCGAAACCACUUUACCACUUUUUUUUUUUACCAUUGAACCACCGAUUC